rnacentral:lncRNA from 1 species
GAGGGCAAGGUUGUGUUCCAGACAUGGGAGUGGUCAUUGUAGUCAUAUUGCUGUUUAUCAAGGAUAAGGAUGAGGCUGUUAAUAUAAUCUCUCUUUUGUAGCUGUAUCUCAUAGGUUAGAAGAGCUGUCUCAGUCCAAGAAGGCUCAUACAGAUGUCAGAAAACCAAGAUCCACUCCUGAAUGGUCUGUGGCAGUCUCAGCUAUGAGAGCAACGGCAUCUCCUAGAUUGAAGGAACUGGCACAGCCCCGACCUUACCCAGCUGGUUGGAAGUUCCAUCGCUCCCCUUAUUCUGUGGUGACUAAAGCAGCACUGUCAGCUUUACCUUCUGAACGGAUUACUGUUCUUGCUAAGCCAAGAGUAAGAACAGAUGCAAACACGGUGCACACAAAAUAAUUCAAGGAGCUGUUGUUGGAUUUCAGAAGUUUUGUGAACACUUGAAGCCCUGGACCUACAUCUCUGAUUAUGGCAAUUCUUGCUGAGUUUCGAAGGCUGAUGUCAUCUAUGCUCGCAGUCCACACAUUCUUGAAAUUAGCCAUGCAGUUGUUUGAGUUAUAUGGUCAUUGCACAUCCUUGACUUUGGCCAGUUUAGGGACGUGAUUAAAGGAUCCUGCACACAUCAUAUGGCUGUGGCUGUGAUGUUUCAUAAGUUUGAAAUACCUCCCAAUUAGUCUACCAUUUGCUUGCAUGAACCUUUGGUCAUCCAAAGACAUAGGUUUUAUCACAGCUUUGAGGUGCUCCUCUGUCUUGCAAGAAAGCAUGUGUUAACUUUGAUUUAAUCAAGAUACAUCGAGGCAAGUCUGAGUUCCAACACCAGCUGUGAUCCUAAUUUAUGAAUGGUGUAGCGAUCACCCUGCUUUGGGUCAGGUAGAAGAUUAUUUGCAUGUACCAAUGAGAGCAGUUGGGAGGCGGAGCCAGAGAAACUAGAAGGGAGGGGUGAGUGAGAGUCUAGUCAAUUCAGUCAGAGACAGAGUUUGGGGGUUUGAGGCAGAGAGAGUGUUUAAGGAGUGAUUAGUCAGAGUGUGACCUGUAUUAAUUAAGAUAGAAGAGGUUAAAGUAAAAUACUGAAGCUUUGUGUAACUUUAGGAAUGUGCUUAAGAACUAUUCCUAAAAUAACUUGUAAUCAAUAAACCUGUUUCUGUUUAAAAGUUCA